UGUGCCGGGUGGUCGGGGCGGGUGGCAGCGGCUCUGCCGUGGCCGGGGCUGCUGCGGGCCGUUCCGCGUCGGUGCGA
rnacentral:tRNA from 1 species